rnacentral:rRNA from 1 species
GGCUCAGAACGAACGUUGGCGGCGUGGAUUAGGCAUGCAAGUCGAACGAAUCCCCGUGGGGGUAACUCUGCGGGGGGAAGUGGCGAAAGGGGCAGUAAUGCGUGGGUAACCUACCCCGGGGAUGGGCAUAGCCGUUCUAACGGACGGAUAAUUCCCAGCGAUUUGGCCGAGGGGCAUCCCUUGACCAGGAAAUGAAUUUCGCCUCGGGAGGGGCUGACGUGAUAUUAGCUAGUUGGUGAGGUAACGGCUCACCAAGGCGAAGAUGUCUAGCGGGUGUGAGAGCACGACCCGCGCCACUGGCACUGAGACACUGGCCAGACUCCUACGGGAGGCUGCAGUCGAGGAUCUUCGGCAAUGGGCGCAAGCCUGACCGAGCGACGCCGCGUGUGCGAUGAAGGCCUUCGGGUUGUAAAGCACUGUCGAGGGGGAGGAAGCCGAAAGGUUGACCUAUCCCUGGAGGAAGGACGGGCUAAGUUCGUGCCAGCAGCCGCGGUAAGACGAACCGUCCUAACGUUGUUCGGAAUCACUGGGCUUAAAGGGCGCGUAGGCGGCUGAUCAAGUCCGGGGUGAAGGCCUCCAGCCCAACUGGAGAAGUGCCUUGGAUACUGGUCAGCUUGAGGGAGGUAGGGGCAACUGGAACUUCCGGUGGAGCGGUGAAAUGCGUUGAUAUCGGAAGGAACGCCGGUGGCGAAAGCGAGUUGCUGGAUCUCUUCUGACGCUGAGGCGCGAAAGCCAGGGGAGCAAACGGGAUUAGAUACCCCGGUAGUCCUGGCCCUAAACGAUGGGUACUAGAUUGUGGGCUUAGCAUGGGUUCACAGUCGAAGCAAAAGUGUUAAGUACCCCGCCUGGGGAGUAUGGUCGCAAGGC